rnacentral:rRNA from 1 species
GACGAACGCUGGCGGCGUGCUUAACACAUGCAAGUCGAACGGAGUGGCGAACGGGUGAGUAACACGUGGGUGCGCUGCCCUGCACUACGGGAUAAACGUGGGAAACUGGGUCUAAUACCGGAUAGUGUGGGAUGGGCACGCGGCCUAUCAGCUUGGUGGUGGGGUAAUGGCCUACCAAGGCGGCGACGGGUAGCCGGGCUUCUAGGGUGGACGGCCACAUUGUGACUGGGACACGGGCCAGACUCCUACGGGAGGCAGCAGUGGGGAAUAGUGCACAAUGGGCGGAAGCGUGAUGCAGCGACUCCGCGUGGGGGAUGACGGCCUUCGGGUUGUAAACGCCUUUCACCAUCGACGCGGUAGAUGGAGAAGAAGCACCGGCUAACUACGUGCCAGCCGCCGCGGUAAUUC